GAUGAACGCUGACAGAAUGCUUAACACAUGCAAGUCUUUGGUGAAGCUGUGCUUGCACCGCCUAGCCAAGGCGGACGGGUGAGUAACGCGUAAGGAACUUGCCCUGCAGUCAGGGAUAACAGACGGAAACGACUGAUAAGACCUGGUAAAGUCAGGCGGACUCAUGUCCAGCCUGAUGAAAAGGGAUGCUGCAGGAGAGCCUUGCGUCCUAUUAGCUUGUUGGUGGGGUAACGGCCCACCAAGGCAAUGAUAGGUAGCCGGCCUGAGAGGGUGGACGGCCACAAGGGCACUGAGAUACGGCCCUUACUCCUACGGGAGGCAGCAGUGGGGAAUAAUGGACAAUGGGGGCAACCCUGAUCCAGCAAUUCUGUGUGCAAGAUGAAGGUUUUCGGAUUGUAAAGUGCUUUCAGCAGGGAAGAAAAAAAUGACGGUACCUGCAGAAGAAGCGACGGCUAAAUACGUG
rnacentral:rRNA from 1 species